AUUGAACGCUGGCGGCGUGCUUAACACAUGCAAGUCGAUCGGUAACAGGUGUAGCAAUACACGCUGACGAGAGGCGGACGGGUGAGGAACGCUUGGGAAUCUGCCCUUCAGCGGGGGACAACCCGGGGAAACUCGGGCUAAUACCGCAUACGCUCCACGGAGGAAAGCCGGGGACCGCAAGGCCUGGCACUGAAGGAUGAGCCCAAGUCGGAUUAGCUAGUUGGCGGGGUAACGGCCCACCAAGGCGACGAUCCGUAGCUGGUCUGAGAGGACGAUCAGCCACACUGGGACUGAGACACGGCCCAGACUCCUACGGGAGGCAGCAGUGGGGAAUAUUGGACAAUGGGGGAAACCCUGAUUCAGCGACGCCGCGUGGGUGAAGAAGGCCUGCGGGUUGUAAAGCCCUUUCGGUAGGGACGAAAGCCUCCGACCCAAUACGUCGGAGGGUUGACUUAACCUACAGAAGAAGCACCGGCUAACUCUGUGCCAGCAGCCGCGGUAAUACAGAGGGUGCGAGCGUUAAUCGGAAUUACUGGGCGUAAAGCGCACGUAGGCGGCUUGGUAUGUCGGGUGUGAAAUCCCCGGGC
rnacentral:rRNA from 1 species